rnacentral:tRNA from 2 species
GGUUCCAUAGCUCAGAUGGAUAGAGCAUCCCGAUCUUCAAAUCAGUAAGGUCAUAGGUUCCCUGCCUGCCUAAGACGGCAGUCGGGCAGGGAAUCCUAUUGGGACUACCA